CCAUCUUCGCAGCGGCGGUUGCAGGGAUUCAGGGGAGGGAGCCGGCGGGAACCGAGUGUGCGGAACAACCUCCUCACACCAGCAGGACGAGAAAGCGAGCGCAGAGCCGACGCGGCACCGUGAGCCUACUAAGGGGCGGUCGCGCGCCUCGGGUCAAAAUGCGCCUGCGCACGUCACGCACUGCCCGCGUUGCUACACGACGGGCCGGCCCGGCAAUGCCCCGCCCCGGGGGCAGCCUGGAGUCCGGACUGCGGGGGCGUCGCUCACCUGCCCGGGGCUGAGGGGCGGGACCCCUUCGCCAGCUCCAGUCUUGAGGGGCGCGGGCAGGUUCUACUUCCUCAACUGCAGGUGAUGAGAGGCGGAGCUUGGGCUGGCACCUGCUGGCCAGGGGCGGGCAAAGGACGUCUAAAGUGGAGAGGCCCGGCUCUUACCCCGUAGGGGGCUCGGCCACACUCCGCCCCGCCCACUGCACCGCCAUUGCCCAUAUAUAGAAACGGCCACCUGGCCAGGUGUGCACGCCUUUGGGGGUGGGGCUGGGGUGCAGGCUGGGCGGGGCGCGCGGGUGGGAGGACAGGGUCGGGAGGUUGGCGGUAGCCUCGGAUGGGGCGGCACCCCGCAUUUUUUACCUACUUUGGUGCGAUUCCCGCAGCCCUCCGAUGAUUGGCCAGCUAGACACGGCGGACCCUCGCGUGAGAGGAAAAAUCUGCACAUUUUUCCUUCUUCGCGAGGCGACUGAGGCCCGCUCUGGGCACCCUGUGAGUCAGCGCUAAUGUGAGGGGACAGGAAGAAUUUACAACUGGGAAGAUUACUGAACUUUAUAUUAAGUUGUACCUAAUUUAGGCAGCCAAGAGCAUAAUGAUUUAUACCGAAACUGUUUUGAUUCUCCAGAUAUGACGAUUUGGACAAGAUGGCAAUAAGGAAGUUGGGGCGGUUUUAAGCCUUUACCACUGGCUGCAGGUGUUUGGCAAGGACGUGGGAAUUACCUGAAGAACUUGUUCCAAAUUAGGCUUACACUUAAUCUUUGGGGGAAAAUAACUCUCAACCUGCUGGAGGCCAGAUGUGCUGAGUUUUUGUCUCCUGAGAAAGGAAGGAGGUGAAGAGUAAGGAAAGGUUUACCGACAGCUCCUGAGAGACAGGAGGGGUCCCAGAAGUGCGUGGCCCCACAGGCGCUUUCUCCAAGAAUGUUCUAUGGAGCAAAAUCACAAGGGAGAUUCUCAGGCCUGGCCAUAUUGUCUCCAUCUUGAGUCCUGGCCCCCUUCAGAUGUGCCUUCAGCAGCAGUUUUGAUGUGUUUUCAUCUUCCACACUGACUCCCUUGAGGGCUUAUCCCUGUCUGACUACCUAUUAAUUUCUACCUAACUUAGCUGUCUAGUAUCUUGAUCUUGUACCUUCCAGCCUCCAAAGCAAUAGGAAUAUAUCUCUGUUUUCUCUGCUGACCCCCAGUCUGUGUGUGGCUUUGUGCUGUACAGCCUGAACAGACUAUAACACAUAAAGUCUCUCCUUGAAUACAGCAUGGGUAUGUUCCAUUUCUGAUUUAGAAGACGUUUUGCAAAUGCAGUACUUGAUCUAUGAACAUGCAAGCACUUUCAUUUGAAGCCAUUAAUAUGACUGGCAGAGAAUAAAUUCACUUUGAAGAGAUUGCAGAGACACCGGUGUUUUGUUUUUUUGUAUUGUUUUGUUUUUUUGGUACUGGGGAUUGAACUCAGGACCUUGCGCUUGCAAGGCAGGUGCCGG
ensembl:lncRNA